UACAGAGGUCCCGAGCGUUGUUCGGAAUUACUGGGCGUAAAGGGCUCGUAGGCGGCCAACUAAGUCGGAUGUGAAAUCCCCAGGCUUAACCUGGGAACUGCAUCCGAUACUGGAUGGCUUGAAUCCGGGAGAGGGAUGCAGAAUUCCAGGUGUAGCGGUGAAAUGCGUAGAUAUCUGGAGGAAUACCGGUGGCGAAGGCGGCAUCCUGGACCGGCAUUGACGCUGAUGAGCGAAAGCCAGGGGAGCAAACGGG
rnacentral:rRNA from 1 species